rnacentral:misc_RNA from 1 species
AAAAAGGCUCAGGCAAUCAACCGUCAUCUCAUAAUUGACAAAGCAUGGAAUAGGAUCCCAAUUCAACAACAGAACUCUACUCAUGUAAGCCAAAUGACUGUCUGAUGUAGUACAUAGAAGUGGGGAAUUUUUUUAAUCAUAUACCUAAUUACUUGAAAUCUCAUGGGUUCAGAUGACAUCCGCAGGGCCUCAUCUCUUCACAGUAUCUCAAAAAUAUUAAUGGGCAUUUCUGCUAUGAGAAGGCCACUACUUUCUUCAAUGCUUUUGAGAGUAACAACUUCGCCUCCGACAACCAUGUUGAUCACGAUUCCAUCUGCUGCCAAGCAAGUAGCCAUGCGCCUCAUAUAUGUUUCCUUCUUUGUUGGUAGCUCAUAAUUAAUCAAGAUACGAGCAUUAAUAGGCAACUCCCCAGAGUUAACGAGGGGAAGGCAAACAUCCGUGACAACUAUCAAAUGACACUUCUCCUCUUUUUUCUCAGUUUCCCCUGUAUCCUGCUUGAUCCACCUCAUUGUAGCUUGACGAAAACUAGCUAAAACUCUUGCACGUUCUGCUUCAGGAAGAUCACUGUACAGAGCGGCGAUUGUAAUAUGUGAGAUAUUAGAAAGAGCGGAGAAGACAGCGUCGAGCUCGUCACGUGUGCUGCAGCUAACUACAAUAGGUAUGGACCAAAGCCGGCCAGCCAUGCCCAAUAGAUCCACCAAAGUCUCCAUUUUGAACUGAAGUCUAUCGACGGCGAGGUAAAAAUGACGUUGCUGGCUGGAAUUGAAGCUUGAUGGAGAAGUCGAUAAUGAAGGUUCAUUGGGCUCCAUCAAUGGCUUCUGAGACUUUUGCUUCGCUGAACAGUCGAUGAAAAAACUCAAUUUCCCUACAGUAAUCUCCCAGCUGAGUGUGUACGCGUUUUCA